AGAGGGUGCUAGCGUUGUUCGGAAUUACUGGGCGUAAAGGGCGUGUAGGCGGUGAAGUGUGUCUGUUGUGAAAGCCCUCGGCUUAACCGAGGAAGUGCAUCGGAAACUACUUCACUUGAGUGCGAGAGAGGGUGGCGGAAUUCCCAGAGUAGAGGUGAAAUUCGUAGAUACUGGGAGGAACACCUGAGGCGAAGGCGGCCACCUGGCUCGUAACUGACGCUGAGACGCGAAAGCGUGGGGAGCAAACAGGGAUUAGAUACCCUGGUAGUCCACGCGGUAAACGAUGUUCACUAGGUGUUGGAGGAAUUGACCCCUUUCAGCGCCGCAGCUAACGCAUUAAGUGAACCGCCUGGGGAGUACGGUCGCAAGACUA
rnacentral:rRNA from 1 species